CGGNGACNAGNGGGGAGAUNNNNUGUGGNANGAUAAAUUACAAAUUNCCGGUUGUGCNGGUUCUUCACAAGUGCACACCGUUAUUUCUUCAUUCACCCCAUGUGCACCUAUGCGUUGCUGGUGUUUGCCAGCUUCGCCUUAUUUUACACAAACUCUUUGUACUUGAAUGUCUUGAUGAAAUAAUAAUGAAAUACAACUAUCAACAACGGAUCUCUUGGCAUCCCACUCGAUGAAGAACGCAGCGAAUUGCGAUAAGUAAUGUGAAUUGCAGAAUUCAGUGAAUCAUCGAAUCUUUGAACGCACCUUGCACCUUCCAGUACUCUGGAGGGUAUGCCCGGUUGAGUAUUAUGAUCACAUCAAACCCAUGAUUUUCUUAUUGCAAAGACCAAUGCUCUGACGAAAGCACUCAUCGGGGUGCUGGUAGUUGCUGCUUGGUUUGGAUGAUCAUUGGGUCUUGGACUUGAGCACUUGUUGGUUCCCUCUGGAUCAACUCGCUUGAAAUGAAUUAGCUGGCGACCUGCCUUCAAUGGUUACCACUCGGCGUAGUAAGUCUUAUUCGUCGAGGACACCUUGGUACCUUCACGUGGAACGGGUGGCCCAUUGGUGCUGUGUCUUGGAAGCCGCCUUCCUAAUCGUCUCUUGGACAAUAUAACGAAACUCUUUUAAUCUCNAAC
rnacentral:rRNA from 1 species